rnacentral:lncRNA from 1 species
UGAUGUUGUUGAUAGUUCGGGUUCGGCUACGGAUGUGGCGUUUUCGAAUAGUACGGAAAGGGUGUUUGAAGUUGCGGUUGAGUAUUUAAGAACUAUGGGGUUAGGAGCAAAUUUGAACGAGUUAGCUUAUGUUGCAGUGUCUUCGAUCGUGGGGUUCGGGUUUAGGUAUAUGCAUUUAGCAUCUCUGAUCAGGUGCUGGCGAAGAGAGUAACCAGGCACGUGAGCUUUCUUUCUAAGAGUUGUGGGAUUUAAAGUACGGGAAUGCUAUUACAUGGUUUGAAGUUCAAGAAGGCCAGUUCCAACACAUAGAUUUUCAUCCAAGUGACCACGCCCCAAAGGAGUGUUGUGGCGUUACUUACACUAAAAAGCGCAAGGCUGGUCAAGUUUAUGGAGUCUCU